UAUUUAAAUCUUGGUUAUUUAAAACUUUUCUGCUAUUAUAAAUAAUGCUGUCAUGAAGAUUCUUACACAUGUAUCUUUGGGCAUUUGUCUGAUUAUUUCCUUAAGAAAUUUUCUAGAAGUGAAAUUGCUGAGUUGAAAGGUAUAAAUUUGUAUUAUUUUUUACUUUUAAAGUGUUUAUAUAUUUUGAGAGUGUGUGUGUGUGUGUGUGUGUGUGUGUGUAAGCAGGGGAGGAGCAGAGAGAGGGAGAGAGAGAAUCCCAACCAGGCUCCAUGCCCAGCACAGAACCUGAUGACAUGAGGCUCAGGAACUGAGAUCAUGAUCUCGGCUGAGAUCAAAAGUCAGACACUUAACCGACUGAGCCACCCAGGCACCCCUUAAUUUGUAUUUUUAUCUAUCAGCAUUUAUUUAUUUAUUGCUGCAUAUUGCAGGAUUUCUCUCCAGAAAGAAUUAAUCAAUUCAUUCUUAUCACGAAUAGAGCUCCGAGCAGGGAAUACCUAGUCCAAACUAAAUUUCAGGAGAGACUUCUCAGAGGAAUUGACACUGGGGCUGAGUCAAAAUGAGACUGAGUCAAGUGAGCAAAAGAGCAGAUAAAUAAUCUAUAGGGAGGCAGGCCUGGCUGGGUUUAGGGCUGGCUCCACCCCCCACCCCCCACUUGUUUGUACUUGCCCUCUCCAAUGCUAGAUAUCUUUGACCUGUUUAAUCUUUGCUGAAUAGAAUUACUCUUUGCCAUUUUUUUAAACCUGUAUUUAUUUACUAUUGGAACGGUUUCAAAAUCCAUUUCCUGGUCUAGAGGACACAGGAACAAUGGCUGCCAGGAGUGUUCCUUCAGAGAUCAUAGAAAAAGAACGAAAAAAGUUACUUGAAAUCCUCCAACAUGAUCCUGAUUCUGUCUUAGAUUCGUUAACCUCUCGGGGGCUGAUUUCUGAGGAAGAGUAUGAGACUCUGGAGAAUGUUACAGAUCCCCUGAAGAAAAGUCGAAAGCUGUUAAUUUUGGUACAGAAAAGAGGAGAGGUGAGCUGUCAGCAUUUUCUCAAGUGUUUACUUAGUACUUUUCCAGAGUCAGCUACUGUUGGUGGCUUACAAAACGAAUUUUUAAAACAUGAGAAUAUAGAACCUCUUCAAGCUAUCGGGAUAAGCAAGAAUUCAGAAGAUGUUUUUUCCUCUGGAGAGAAACAGCCCGAGAAUCCUGAAAUCACAGUGUCCUUCAAAAAGAAAGAACACCUGGAUAUGGGAAUUUCUGAGUGCUUCAGGGACACGAAAACUACUUAUAAGGAAGCUGCUUGGUCCUCAAGGGAAAAUGAGGAGGAAUACAACACACCAAAAGGCAUAUUGCCACAUUUAGUUGAGAACAUUAAAUAUGAAAUUCCAGCAACCAUUGAGUAUUUACAGGAUGGACAGAGAUACGAGGAGCCAGAUGAUUCUUUGUACUUAGGAAAAGAGGAAUAUUUUGAACCUGUUGGACACUCUGAAGAUGGAGAAACCUCUGUGGAAGAAGAGGAUUAUAAUGACUCAGAGCACGGUGUUUAUGAUGGCGAAGAGGGCGCUGCAUAUUCAGAGACCACACAGUUCUCUGAUGAAGAACAGAGUUAUGAGGAUUCCGAAACUGGCAUGUCAUUCGCAGCGGAGGAGGAGAAAAGGAUGGAAGAAAGAAAAAAGGUAUUUAAAGAUGUCCUGUCAUGUUUGAACAUGGAUAGGAGCAGAAAGCUUCUGCCAGAUGUUGUUAAACAAUUCUCCUUAGAUCGAGGAUGUAUGUGGACACCUGAGGCUCCAGGAGACUUAGCCUGGAAUUUCCUGAUGAAAGUUCAAGCGCUGGAUGUCACGGCCAGAGAUACAAUCCUCAGACACAAGGUUCUGGGUGAGGGUAACAAAGAGGAACUGCUGACUGGAGUAGAGAAUUUGGAAAUUAGAGACAUACAAACCAUUAAUCCCUUUGAUGUUCUUUGUGCAUCUAUGCUCUGUUCAGACAGCUCGUUGCAACGCGAGGUCAUGUCAAACAUGUAUCAGUGCCGGUUUGCUCUUCCCCUGCUCCUGCCAGAUGCAGAAAACAACAAAAGCAUCUUAAUGCUGGGGGCCAUGAAGGGCAUUGUGAAGAAGUGGUCAGCACAAUCUUCAGGAGGGCCUACAGGGGAUACAGAAAAGUGCCUGACUCUCAUGAAGAUGCCUGUCAUCUCUUUUGUGCGCCUAGGAUACUGUAGCUUCUCCAAGUCCAGAAUCCUCAACACACUGCUUGUCUCUGACCAACUAAAAUCACACAAAAUCUUUCUCCAUCAGGAUUUUACUGGCCCGGUGCUUCCCCGGCAGAUCUCUGACGGCCUGGUAGAGAUAAUGUGGCAUUUUCCUGAUAGCGAUGGUCUAAUGGAAAAUCCUAGUGUUUUCCAAAAGCCUGUUGCUCUGGCCAAUCUUCGUGGAGAUCUAGAAAGUUUUUGGACACAGUUUGGUUUCUUGGUGGAAGUUUCCUCAGCUGUGUUUUUUUUCACUGACUACCUAGGUGAGAAGGAGUGGGACUUGCUAAUGUUUUUAGGAGAAGCUGCCACCGAGAGAUUCUACUUUGUCCUCAGUCCCCAGGCCCAGGAGAGUGAAGAGACACAGCUUUUCCAGACGACUCUGAAGUUGAAGCCAUCACAGCUACUGUUUUGGAAGGGGGAGGCACCUGGGGAGACAGGGAAGAAUAUUGAGGGUCUUCAAGCUGCUCUCCAGGAAGUGAUGUCCUCUUCGCUCAGAUGUGUGUCUGUGGAGGACAUGGGCUCCCUGGCCAGGGAGUUGGGAAUCCAGGUAGACCAAGACUUUGAGAAUGUUCAGGGGAUUCAAACUCCCCCUAGUGAAAAUUUGUCUGGAACAGCUAAAGAUGAGAGACAACAAAGACCCAGUCAGUCAGAAAGCUCAUGUGAAAGCCCAGCUGUGAUGCCUGGAGAAUCUGGGGCUAGCCAGAAUCUCCAGAAUUUCUACCUCCUCCCAGGAUUCCUGCCUCGUCUAGAAAACUGUCCUUUACCAACCAGAAUUGGAGGGAACUUUAGCCACGUUUCUUUGAAAGCCCCCUGGGUUACGGGCUCCCACUUUUGGUCAGAGCAGAGGUCUAAGUGGUUCCGUCCCUGGCCCUUUCAGAAAACAAGGGCCUAUGGUCGAGGUAAAAGUUUUGGGUUUCGGUACUUCCAGCCCCAGAGAUUUUAUUCACCUGAAAGAUUCACGAAAUUUUCAAGAACUGCUUUGGGACAUCCUAUGACUAAAACAAUUGGAGGACUACCAAGACCUGUGUCUCAGCAUGUACGCGCCUGGUCCAGGAGACCACAGACAACAGGAGCUCUUGAAAGGUCUGGGGUAGUGGUCUCCCAGAUUGGCUCAGUAAGUCUGGGGUAAGCCUGAGGAAUGGCCUUUUAACAGGGACUCCCACUGAGGCAGAAGAUCCUGGGGCCACAUUCUGAAAAACCCAGAGAGGGCCCAGGCUGCAAACCCAUUUUCAGGUGCUCAGGGAAAGAAAUUUUCAUCUGGACCAGGAAUCCGGUCUGGGCUCACAAGAAAGAAGAAAAACAGCAUAGUAAUAUGAUGAGUGCCAGCAUGUUGCUUCAGGUCUGUGGGAUCUCUUCCAGUGGUGGCUAAUAGUGUCAAAUACGUCAGCAAGACCAGUAAGGUAAGAACUGAGACAUGUGCCCUUGCCUUGUGUGCUCGGUGUCAGUUCAGUUUUAGGGAGAUAAAGGCACAGAAGCCAGGCUGAACAGGGUCAAGGUGUUAAUGGAAAGUGAGGAAGUGGACACUUCAGGAAAUUUGAUUGAGAAGCAAAGUGCUUUACUUAUUUGGCCAAGAAGAGCCUUUCUUCUUCUCAUCCUCUCCCCUUCUUCUCCCCCUUCCUUCUUCCCAUACUUUCCUUUUUUUUUUUUCUUUCCCCCUUAUUUUCUUCUGAUCCAUCUUCCUUUUUGUUUUGUUUUGUUUGCAUCCAGGUUAACAUAGUAUUGGUAAAGAUUUCAGACACUGUUGGAAAUAGAUGAUGUUGGAAGUUCCUUGUAAUGCCACCCUCUGGAAAGCAGGAGUUCUCAAUUCUGGUUGCAUAUUAGAAUCAUCCAGGGAGAUUUUUUUUUUAAGUUUAUUUAUUUAUUUUGCGAGAGCAGGUGAGAGCAGGGGAGGGGCAGAGAGAGGGAGAGACAGAAUCCCAAGCACGAGGCGUUCAAACUCACAAACCGUGAGAUCAUGACCUGACCGAGAUCAAAGAGUCGGACACUUAACCAGCUGAGCCCCCCAGGGGCCUCUAGGGAGACUUAUUUUUAAAGCCUGAUGCCAAGCCCACAGCCCAUGUCAAAGACAUGGCACCCAGGUAUGAACAUUCUUUAAGGCUUUCUAGGUGACUCCAGUAUACAGUCAAGGUUGAGAACCACUGCUCCAGGACUUUGCUACUCAAAGUAUGGUCUGUGGACCAGUGGCACAAGCAUCAGCAUUCAACAGAAUCUCAGCUCUGCACUCCCUCUCUACCUGCUGAAUCAUAACCUGCAUUUCAACAAGAUCCCCUGAUUUUCAUAUGCAUAAUAAAAACAGAGAAGCACGUUCUAUAGAAAAAUCAUUAAAAGCAAUAAGGAAGACUUUUUUUUUUAAAGGUGGAAUACACUCAUGCUUGUAGACUGAGAGGAAAAGCCUAUAAAGGAGAAAGAAUACAAAGUGUAAAACAGAAUGUCAUAAUUGGUAGGGCAAUGUCCCAGAAGUGGUGGGAGGGAUCGAACUGACAGCCUGUUGGGAAAAAUGGACUUUGAAGAGGAAAGGGAAUUUGUUUCCUUAUGACAUUGGAAGGAAAGAGAAUGAAUGAUAGACUUACAAGCAGAUUUGAAAGCAGGGCAGUAGCCUCCUGAUGGCCUUUGUUUUCUGCUUCUUACAGGGAAGUAGGAGAGGUCAUUUGCUAACAAUGAAUGAGGUAUUGAACACUCACCAUGUUUUGCACACAAAAUCAUAUGUAAUCUUUCCAAUAGCGCUAUGAUGAUUCUGUUAUACACAUGGGAAUAUUGAUGCUCAGUCUCUAAACAUCUGUUCUGGGGUUCCUUCUGUAUGUCUUCACUCCUUCGGUGACAUCACUCAGUGCCCCUGUAAAUGUUAUCCACAUGACUCUGAAUCCCAGAUCUACAUUUCCGGGCCUGAUCUGUGCCAUGAACACCACCAAGUUGCAGACUUGACAAUUCCAUAAUAUUGCCUGAUAGGAAUCUCAAACUGGGCGAAGAGAACUCUUCCCAAAGCUGUACCCCACCCUCGACCCCACUCAUCAUAAUAAAGCUAAAAUUCCAGGACUUCUCCUGGAAGUGCUUCUGUUGCACCCAUCCCCAGUCACCAAGAAGUCUGGUCAAUUUGAUCUCCAUAGUAUUCUGAGUCCCCACACUUGAGUAACAUCUCCACUACCAUCAGGCCAGCCUAAGCCACUGUCACCUCCUACACAGACCAGCCACCCUCUCUGCCUCUGCCAUUGCCUCCCUGGAACCUGUUCUGCGCAUUUCAGCCACAGUGAGGUGUGUGCAUGUACAUGGCCAUUUAAAAAUCAUACCCACAAGGGGUACCUGGGUGGCUCAGCCAGUUAAGCAUCCGACUUUGGCUUAGGUCAUGAUCUCACAGUCUGUGGGUUCUAGCCCUGCAUCAGGCUCUUUGCUGACAGCUCAGAUCCUGGUGCCUGCUUUGGAUUCUUUGUCCCUCUUUCUCUCUGCUCCUUCCUCACUCACGCUCUGUCUCUCUCUCAAAAAUAAACAUUAAAAAUUUUUUAAUAAAAAUAAAUAAGUAAAAUCAUACCCACAAACAGGGUAGUAUAACCACCCCAUCACAGCUGCUCCAAAAGUGGUCAAUAAUUUGUGAAUCUUGUUUUAUCUAUGUUCACACCUUCACAUAAAAAAAAAAAGUAUUUAAAAGCAAACCCAAGGUAGCCAUAUCAUUUCAACCGUAAAUAUCUCAGUAGGUAUCUCUAAUGGAGAAGGAUUUUUAAAAGUACUGUAGCCAGAGGCUCAGUAGUUGAGCUGGGUGACUCAGUCAGUUGAGCGUCCGACUUCAGCUCAGGUCAUGAUCUUGAGGUCUGUGAGCUGUGCUGACAGUUCAGAGCCUGGAGCCUGCUUCUGAUUCUGUGUCUCCCUCUCUCUCUGCCCUUCCCCCACUCAUGCUGUCUCUCUCUUUCAAAAAUAAAUAAAUAUAAAAAAAAUUAUAAAGUACUGUAACCAGAAUGCUCACUCAUUUGUAGUGCUCCAGGGUGCUGCACACAUUUAUAUAUUGCAGCUAAUCCUUCACAAUUGUUUUGUGAGGUGGGCAUUGCUAGAUGACUUCACCUACAAGAAUUUUUUUUUUUUUAAUUUUAGAGAGACACAGAGAGAGCAUGAGCAAGGGAGAGGGGCAGAGGGAGAGAGAGAGAGAGAACAAGAAUUUUAAGCAGGCUCUGUACUCAGUGUGGAGCCUGACACAAGGCUCGAUCCCAUGACUCUGGGAUCAUGACCUGAGCAGAAAUCAAUAGUCAGAUGUUCAGCCACCUGAGCCACCCAGAUGCCCCAAAAAUGUAGAGAGUAAGGCACUUGCCCAAAGGGCCGAAAUUUAAAGCAGGAGUCCUCAAAUUCCCUGUUGGGUGCCCUUCCCACCUGGUCACUCUUCCUCUUUCCUAUGUGUGAAGGCUCUUGUGCUCAUUUCUUAGUGGCUUGAAACUCGUGAUCUUGCAUCAUUUUAAGAAAAGAGAAUAUAAAAAUGGGAACAAUCUAUAUAUUUUCAGAUUUUCCUACUAAAUUUUUUCUUUAAAAUUUAGGAAAAACAUCAUUAUACUGCCAUCUUCUGGACCUUUUGAAAGCUAACACAUCAACAACAAUACAGAGAAUUUAAAACCAGGUCUGUCCAGCUCUUUUCAAUCUAGGGCUGACAUAUUAAACUUUGUAUAAUUAAAAUUAUUUCUUUAGUUAAUUGAAAAAAUUCUUUAACAGUUUAAUACAUAUCAAAUGUGGAGGCUAAAGUUACAUGUAUUCAGAGAUCAGUUAUUUAUUUUUUAUAGAGGGGAUGGAAACAAAGAUACAUACUUAAAAUUUACAAGUAAUUCAGCAGCCACCUUUUGGCCAUUAAUUUCACCCUCUUCCAAUGAUAGUUUUUAAGAUUAUGUUAAUAGAGGUGGUAGGUAAAAAGGCUUUUCCGCUGUUGGUGGGAGUAUAAAUUAUUGCAGACCUCUGGGAAAGCCAUUUGAGUACAUAUAUUAGAAAUAAAAUUAAACACGUGUAACUUUUGGCCCAGUAAAUUUACUUUAUGAAAUCGUCCUACAUAUAUUCUUGUUGAUGUGUGCAAAGAUAUAUAUGUAAAGAAUGUACAAUCUCACAUUGUCUAUAAAGGACUAGAAAAACCUAGAAUACUUAAGGAAAUAUGAUACCUAUGCAAUGUGAUUUUAUGAAGUUGGUUGACAAUAAUGUUGCAGUUAUGCUGGUAAUAAUAACUGAUAUUAAAAGAGGUUUUAUUUAUUUAUUUUUUAAAGUUUACUGAUUUAUUUUGAGAGUUAGGGGGAGGGGGAGAAUUCCAAGCAAGCUCUGCCCUGUCAGUGCAGAGCCUGAUGUAGGGCUUGAACUCACAAACUGUGAGAUCAUGAUCUGAGCUGACAUAUUAAACUUUGUAUAAUUAAAAUUAUUUCUUGGGGCGCCUGGGUGGCUCAGUCGGUUAAACGUCCUACUUCGGCUCAGGUCACGAUCUCGCGGUCCGUGGGUUCGAGCCCCGCGUCGGGGUCUGGGCUGAUGGCUCAGAGCCUGGAGCCUGCUUCCGAUUCUGUGUCUCCCUCUCUCUCUGCCCCUCCCCCGUUCAUGCUCUGUCUCUCUCAGUCUCAAAAAUAAAUAAAAAACGUUAAAAAAAUAAAAAAAA